rnacentral:lncRNA from 1 species
AUGUUUAUCUCUCUUUCGAUCUCUUCGUUCCUCCUGUGCUUCCUGCUCUUUUCCUUGAAUUAUGGUCCUUACCUUGGCCAAAUUGGUGGGCCGUUUCCCUGCCCCCUUGAGACCCGCCAACAGAGCCUGGCGAUAGAUUCGGAGACUCUCCCUACCUGGAGCCGUUUCAUAGUCCCAGUCCGGGCGGGUGAGGGGGCCACGGCCAGACCGCCGCGGCCGCCGCCCGGGGCAAGGCGGCGAGACCAACGGCGCUCCGGAUCCACAACCUCCACCCCCCACGACGGCCCACGGGACCGCGCGGCACGGGGCACCGCGCGAGCCGCCCCGACAGGGCAAAAGGGGGGCCGGGAUCGCCAGCGGGGAGCGGGGGCGGGGCCGCGGCUCGGGCCCCGGACGCACGGCCACAGGACCGGGAGAGGAGGGGGAGGAGGAACUGGAGGCAGGAGGGGAAGUAGGGGCCACCGGGGUCAAGGCGGGGGCCAGGGGCGGAUUAUAGGGUGGAGGCUGUAAGAGGGGGUAGGAAGGGAGGAAGGGUUUCAUCCAUGCCGGAGGAUUCCGAAUGAGAUCCUCCCAAGUGAGGAUAUAGGCUACUUGAUCUGGAUGACCUUGUGGUCCGGGAUCCAUUACCUUCGUCUUAACCUGUAAUAUAAUAGAGAGGUCAAAAGUCCCGUCCCGGGGCCACCCUACGGAUAGGGUGGGCCACUCUGAUGAACAAUAAGUUCGCCAUCGACCUUUCCGAACCUCAAGGGAAAGAUUGUGAGCUCUUGCUUGGACGUCCGAGAAAUGAGUCAGAGUCAAAGUUAGAGGAGUAGUCAAUGUCUGUCCCAUGGCUGUGUCGUCCUGUCCUGUCCACGCGUCCACACCAGCACACUUACACACACAUACACAAAGAUGACUACAAUGUCGACACAGACCAGACAACACAGACUAGACAACAACCAAGGAGCCGCGGCCAGGUAUUCAGAUUCAGAUGGCAGGGGAGGCCUGCCUACGGAUUUGGGGAGUCUGACGAACUUGUCAGUUCUCCCCUACAGACACCACCGAGGCGUCCCUCGGGGCUGGGGUGUGAAGGUUCAGGACACGUCUGUCCUCCUUCAACACUCCUACUGAGGUGGCCGGCCGGCCUCAGAAUUCACAGUUCAGAGACAAAACAUAGAACACAAUACCUGUGUGUAGACAAAGGCACAGAAGUCUGUCUUCAGUCAGUCCGUCAGUGGCCCGGGCCGGAGAGUCAUCCACCGACGGGGCCGGGGUUCUCUUGCCUUCCCUCGAUUCCCGGCCAACGCACCAAAUGUUAGGAGCCAAGCUCCUAAGCCCUAUGGAAUGAGAGUUGGCGCAAAGAACCACACGGCACUCCGACGUCGGCAGAGAGUCUUUACUGGUGCACCAGGGCUCCCCAGUGUUGGAAAGCGGGAGAGCCUCGAUAAACGGGGUUACAGGUCUUUUAUACCAUUUUGAGUUACAUUUGCAUACAGGCUGGCGAUAGGCUCUCUGCUCGGUGGUGGUUGGGGUUGUGGGUAAUUUCGUCCCGGGGAAGCUUGGGAAAUGAAGUUUCUUUCGGCUGAUGCAACUUGGAGCCCGGGUUGCGAAGCGGCUGAUGCAACUUGGGGCCCGGGUUGCGUAGCGGCUGGGGACUUUCCGACUAGGGUGGGGCGCAUAAGCAGUUUUACAGAAGCGGAAUGAAAGCGGUUAUUUAUGUAGCAAAAGGUGGGGGUUCUGACUUCUCAAGGCAGAUAAUCUCUGUCCAGUAAUAAAAGAUAACCCUGAAGGCUGUGGUUUUAGUAC